rnacentral:rRNA from 1 species
AGCAUGUGGUUUAAUUGGAAGCAAACGGAAGAACCCUUACCAGGUCUUGACAUCUUCUGACAACUCUAGAGAUAGAGCGUUCCCCUUCGGGGGACAGAGUGACAGGUGGUGCAUGGUUGUCGUCAGCUCGUGUCGUGAGAUGUUGGGUUAAGUCCCGCAACGAGCGCAACCCUUGAUCUUAGUUGCCAGCAUUUAGUUGGGCACUCUAAGGUGACUGCCGGUGACAAACCGGAGGAAGGUGGGGAUGACGUCAAAUCAUCAUGCCCCUUAUGACCUGGGCUACACACGUGCUACAAUGGAUGGUACAAAGGGCUGCAAGACCGCGAGGUCAAGCCAAUCCCAUAAAACCAUUCUCAGUUCGGAUUGUAGGCUGCAACUCGCCUACAUGAAGCUGGAAUCGCUAGUAAUCGCGGAUCAGCAUGCCGCGGUGAAUACGUUCCCGGGCCUUGUACACACCGCCCGUCACACCACGAGAGUUUGUAACACCCGAAGUCGGUGGGGUAACCUUUAUGGAGCCAGCCGCCUAAGGUGGGACAGAUGAUUGGGGUGAAGUCGUAACAAGGUACCCGUA